GAAAAGGUUCAAAAAGCCCCAGGCACAAGAGAGAAGAAUACAAUAAAGAAUACAACAAAAGGAAAGAAAGCAUGAGAUGAUUUCCUUUUCCCAGUAGUUUUCUGUUAAGUUUCCCUCCAGCCUUUUUAGGAAUUAAUUACAAUACUUAACAUCCUCAAUAGGCUACAUCAGCAGUUAAAGAAGUGAACCAAUACCAGCUCAUGAUCAGUGAUCUAUUUUCUUAUUCUCUUGGCAGGGCUGCACUUAGCCACCAGAGUUGUCUCUUCAACAAGAGAGGUUUGAUAAUCUCAGUAACCUUCUUCUGGGACUCCUGUUAGACAUGUAUAUUUAACACCAUCAGCUAAGUCGUAACAGUCGUCCAAGUCAACCGACUUCCCAGCCUGCCCACAUUGCCUCCCUGCAGGAAGUGAUUUUGCACACAGAAGCCCCUGAUGAGGUAGGGUGGAGUGUGAAGUAUCAGUUCUUGGACCACAGUUCCAUCCCUGGAGCAGCAAUUGUGAAGCAUCGUUCUCCUGUUCCAGCAUCUCUCCAAAGACACUCAGGUCUCUGUCACAGGAUCACCAUCGAUAAAGGUGUCUGUCCCUCUGACACAUACCCAGGGGAGGAAAGAGCAAGCUUUGGAGGCACCUGAUUGACUUCAACUGGAGAUCUUGUUGGGUCUGUAGUUAAUGCCUGGAACUGCUGCAGCCUUUUUGCAACCAUGAAGGAAUCUAGCCUGAGAACAAUAGUACCACAAAGAGAGAAUGCCGAGUCAAGAGAAUCACCAAGAGGCGACCCAGAUCCCUGAUUAUCCCGUGCCUGGAGCUACCACCACCUUUGCUUUCUUGCCUCAUGUGAUAAUACAUUUCUCCUCACUGUUUGAAAUUCAUUGAGUCCAGUUUUCUCUUACCUGUAGCCAAAGGCAUCCUUAAUAAUAUAAUUGACUCCACUUUGCAGAUGAAGAAAGACACAAAGAGGGCAAGUGACACCUACAGUCACACCACUGAUAAAUGUAUUAAGAACAUGCAGGCAUUAGGGACUAAAGUUUAUACAUAAUUUAAAGUAGUGUGUAGGAGUUUAGGACAGGCCACCCCAAAAUACGCUGCUUUGGCAUAUAGACUACUUUGAGCUGGAGGAACUUGAAAAACAGUACAUGCAGAGAGUGGCUUUCUCUGAAUUCCCUUUAUCUGCCUAAAGACAAAACCUCCAAAAGGAGCUCAGUUGUCAUCAGUACCCCCACCCCCAGGAGUUUCAUCAACCAGGGAAAAUUAACUCUUAUCACGGGAGAGGAGACUGGAGGUGACAUCACACCCAAGGUUUGUCACAAGCUAUCACUUAUUCUGAGGGUCUAUUCAUCUUUCCCCAAAAUCAUUUUCUCUCCCCUAAAUUGCCUACAUCCCCCCUCCCUGCUUUCCCCCAAAAGGGGGUACAUAACCUUCUAAAUCUCACUGUUUUAAGGGGUAUUACUUUUUUUCCUAUGAUGUCCCUGUGCACUUAAUAAAUUUUUGUACCUUUUAUCCUGUUAA